rnacentral:tRNA from 1 species
GCCGCAGUAACUCAGUCGGCAGAGGGAUAGAUUUUAUCUAUAUGCGGUGGUUCGAUCCCACCCUGCGACACCA